GACAGAUGAGCCUCAUUAGCCAUAGGACAGGCAUGCAUCAUAUGCAUUUAUAUGCUUUGCUUGGGUUUGAACUUGUUUUGGUUUGCCUAAUUGCUAAACUGUUCUUAACUGCUACUUGAACUAUUUGCUGUAACUGCUACCUGCUUGUGUUUUCCUUGUCUGUCUUGCCUGUGUUUGUCCUGGCGUGCUACAUUUGAGAAUGAACUUGGAUGUUGAAUUAAUGAUUAUAUUGUUUAAUUGCGUGGUUGAUUUCUGAUUGAGAUUUUCUUAUAAGAAAGGAAAGAUUUCGGAUUUCUGAAAGAUUAAACAUUGUUUCUUUGAAAAGGGUUUUGAACAAUUUCCUAUUGGUUUUAAAAGAUACAUAAGGCAAUGAUAAUCACUGAGCUUGAAAACAGUUUCUUAUUAAAUAUCUUCUUAUGACAACUUUGAAACUCCGUGGUGAGACCGUGUGGUUAGGUCUCACCCCCCUACAGCUUUACCUUUUCAGGAACCAGAUGAAGAAGCAUUAAGAAGAGUUAUACUACGUUUGGUUUAUAUGUUGUUGUAUUAAUUAGAUUAUUUUUUUCCCCUCGUCUUUGUUAUUACAAGUUUGUAAGAGGGAUAGGAAUUGUAUGUUUUAUACAUAUAUUAUAUUGAAUUAUUAUAUAAGGAGUCUUGUAUAUGAAUCUAUGCCUGUUUGUAAUUUUCUUAAAAUAAAGUAUUUAUUUCCGGUUUUCAAAGAAAUUAGCGAUACAGUAUCAAGUUACAGGCUCCUAUUCUAGUAUUUAGUAUGUAAAGUAGUCGUAAUACUUCUUGCUAUCAGAGUAGCGCAGCCGGAAGCAUGAUUUCUGAUAGUGAGGGUGUUACAUUAUGGUAUCAGAGCCGUCUUUUCUGUAGAGCCUGAGGAAUGGACCGAUUAUGCUUUAAUCGCAUACUCUGAGUGUCUGUCAUGUUAUAGGUCUUGUCCGAAUGACGAGAAUUAGAGCUUUAUGCACAUGACUGUUUUUUUUAUUAACACUGUUAGCUUUCCAUUGCAUAUCUGUUAUUAUUAAGUCUGGCCAGCUUAAUAUUAAUGGUUUACGUAUACGGUAAAGUUAAUGGGUUAUCAUUGACAAAGUUGAAUUAAUAAGCGAUGUGGUUCACGGGUUCUGGGAGCGUUAGAAAUUAAAUUUUGAAGUUAGUUCCGUUUUGAUGUGUAAUCUUGUUCAUGUCGUGUAGCUUAGUACACCGUUCUCUCUCUUAUUGGUUAUGUUGGAAUUCCUUGUUUUAGAUUUUUCCUUUUAAGAUAUGAUUCGACUCUGUUCCUAGCGAUACUUAUUCAUUCCUAUAUAUAUAUUUCUGCUUGAUUAUAAUCCUGAUUAUUCACUUAAAAUCAUUUGGAACUUUUACCUUUGAUGUUGCUCAUAUUUCUCUUCACGAAUCACGAGUUCUUCUUUCGAGUUGGUUUUGAACUUGUUUCACAAGACAAUGGUCCUUAAUUCUUUGAAAAACGUCAGAUGUUAUUCCUUGAUUAGUUUACACCGAAGGUAGGUACUUUAAUCAUGUCACAUGAUGCGUGUGCUGCUUAUCCUUCAAUUUACCAUCUUUUACACUCCUUGUUUCAAUUCUUUUUGGAACCUGAUUUGAUUAUUUAUCAUUAUCAUUAUUUAUGCAUUUCUUCAUAAAUUUUGUAUCCUUUUAUUUGAUCCUAAAUCUGUUCUAGCGUAACACAUAAUUCUUAAUACUUGAGUGAUUUGAAACCGUGAGAGUUACGAUUUGUAGCAAGCUAAUUGUGUGAUUUGGUUCUUCUACUUUGCCUUCUACAACUUAUGCGUAUUUUGCCCAGGUUACAAUUUUUGAUCCUGUUUUUCUCUAAAUGAAUAAAGUACUUCCCUUGGUAAAAAUUUCGAAUUUGUCUUGGUAUGAGAUAACAAUUCUAGUAAUAUUCUUUCAAUGUUUUUGUUUCGGAAUCUUCGUUGAGAAGAGUUUGGAUCUUUUUAUUUUAUCUAUACUCUUAUUAACUAUAUAAGAAAACUUUACAUUAGAUUUCUUUCUUUGAACAUAAUUUGAUUCUCCUCCAAUAUUUACUCAAAUUUUUAUAUAUGUCUUUUUACUUGAUUAUGUACUCUAAGAUUCUUGAUAAGAAAUUUUUGCUUCUAUUCUAGUUAAUCUCUAAUUGACAAACUUCAAUUAAUUUAUUUUAAAUUGGAUUGUUUUCACACAAUACCUUAUUAAAACUUAUAGUAAUUAUUUUGGGAAAGUGGCUUCAUUCCUUCAUAAGGUUACAACUCGAUUUUCCCUUUCGGUACAUCUUCUUGUUUUUGUACAUCCUUGCUUACUUAUAAUUUCAAACGUUUCUCCAAGACCUUGUGAAACACCAUUUUGGUUACUUGUUCUUAUUUAUCAAAAUUUGUAUUCCUUUGAAUAAACUCCAAACUUAUUUUGGUGCACAUACCACUUUUUAUAAUCUCGUUCUAAGGUUUUUGUUUUAGAUUCCAUUGAAGAAAUUUCAAUUCAGUUCUUGUUUUACUGGAUUCUAUCCGUAGCCCUAACUUAAAUUUUAACAAAAUCGUUUUGGAACUUAGCAUAUAUUUACUGAUACGAAGGUUUAAAACUUUCUUAUGCAAUCGAAACCUAUUUGUUUGUAACGUACCAAGUAUUCUUUUAUUGACUAAUUUAUCUCGGACUUUUUCUUCUAAAUAGAAUUUAGUUCUACCUCUAGGUUUGAUAUAAAUUUUUAUGCAUAUUCUUGUUUGAUUAUGAUCUUUUAAGAUUUUUCAACAUUUUUAGCUCAAUUAAUUUUCAUUAUUUCAAGUUUUGCACAAAUUUAAUUUAACUUGAAUUUGUUUUAACAUAAUCCAAUAUUUACGCUUCUGUUACCUCUCUCUUGAAGGAUAUCUAUUUCAUAUCUUUUCUUUUUAGAAUGAGAAAUCAUACUUUCUUAGAUUUUUCCAUGCUUCUGAGUUUUGCAAAUGAUAUCGUUAGUUCAGUUAUUCCUCUCUUGUGAACUUAGUGUUCCUCUGUUCUGGCUUGAACUUAUUUCAAUUUAAAUCAUCACUACUUUUCUUAUCUCUUAAGGAGUUCCUAGAUUCAAAUUUCCUAUUUAGAUGCAAAAUGAUUUUCUUUCUAGAACAUUUUCUCGUGCCUGUAAAUCGUUACUUAGUUGCAAUCUUACGUAUCCUCCUUAAUUUAUACGAAUUUUAUCCUCGUCACUUAUUCAUUUUUUCCUUAGAUUUGUAACUACUUGAAUAUACUGGUGCUUAUCUCAAUGUCACAUGUGGUCCCUAGAAAAUAAAAACCGAAGCGUUAGUUUUUCAGGAAAUGACUAAUAGAUGAGGAGAUGAACUUCGGCAAGUUUGAAAACGCCGUAGGUUAUGACGUUUAAAUUUCGGGAAAGGAGUAUUGUCGGGAAGAUAUUCAAGUUUUCGGUAGCUCAAUUCGUAUAAGAUAACGAUUCGCAACAAGUUAGUUAAGUGACCAGAGCAACGUGAGAUAGAUAAACUUAAGGUGAAACUUGUAACGCGGUAGUUCUUUAGGAUACGGUUCAUGAACGUUGAACGUGAAGCUUGUAAGUAUGUGACAUCAAAGGGAGUUGUGAUAGUGAGCUAUGUUAAAACUCAUAAGGUUGACACCAUGUAACCCAUUUUCUUUUCAGCCUAUUUCGUAACUACUGCUUUACACCAUGCUUUUCCUUUAUUUCUAAGUCUUAUGGUUUAUUUGCUAUUUGAAAAUUUAUAUAUACCACAACUUUUUGUUUUUCUAAAGUAUUCAAAAGAAAAGUAUUGAAACCGUGUAAUAUUUCUUGUAAUAUUCUAAAUUUUCUUAUCUAAAAAGCAUUUGAACAGUAGAGUACUUAUUCUUAGUAUUACCUUGUAUAUUCUUUUAAUUUUCGAGGACGAAAAUUUUUAUAAGGUGGGUAGGAUGUAAGACCCAAAACUUUUGAAAAGCCUUAUUCUAAAUUGAUUUCAAUUUAAUUAUUCAUUAAAGACUUUAAUUUUAGAAAUUAUUUAAUUAAAGCUAAUGAAAUUAAGUUUAGAUAAUUAAAUUAGAAUUCUUCUCUAAUUUUAUAAUUGUUGAAUAAUUUUCUAUAUUUGAACUAUAAAAUUUAGUAAUUGCAAAAUAAUAAGAAUUUUGUAUAAAUUGAUUUAGAGAAUUGAGAUUUUGGAAUUCAAUCUAUUUUAAUUUUUAUGAAUAAAGAAAAUUAAUUAUAUUAUCUCUAAUUAUUGAAUUAAAGUCUUUAUUUAAAAAUAAUUUAUAAAUUGAUAAAUAAUUAAAUAGUAUUUUUACAAAUAUUAUUAAUGGAUUAAAAGUUGAUUUUUGAUUUUCAAUUACUCCUAAUUUUAGUGAAAUGACUGAACCACCCCUAACCCUAAUUCCCAAAUUGGGAACCCUAACUCUAGUAAACUUCCAUGGCCGUCGCCGUUGAGCUCGCAAGUGAGAGAAAAAGAGUUCGCAGGUGAGAGAGGAAGGUGUUGCGCCGCCGUUCGUUGCUAUUCAGCCACCGCCACGCCUUGUCGUCGCCGGAGUUACCAUCGCCGCGUGCCACCGCCGCUUCUCACUGCCGAGGGGAAGCCUUGUCUACGUUGCUGCCUUAGUCGCCGGUGAGUUGUGCACCGCCACCAGAGUUGAAGACAGCACCAGCCUUGCUCUGAUUUCAAUUCUCCUAUUCUUGAAACUGUAACGCUUUAAACCUUGCUCUGUUUUAUCUUGUUCCUCUGUUCCUUCCUGGCUUAAUUAUAGGACUAUGGAUUACUGUUUUAGUCGUUGCUGGUUUACCGUUCGAAAAGGCAUAAUUGAUGCUGAGAUCGUUGUUGUUCUUGCUCCGAGAGAACUGAUGUCACUGUCGCUGCUGUUGGUUCUGAAUCCUAUUACAUUGAUUCUGGUUUGCUCUUCUCCUUGGUUCUGACCUAUUUGGCACAUUCUAUUUUGUUACUUUUAAUUGCCAUGUUCUUGUUUUAAUUCAAUUCUGGUCUUUGAAUUGUUGUGAAUCUUCCAGAGCUAUGUUUGCUUUUGAUUCUUAUCCAAUUCGAAUCCUUGUCUUGCUGCAACCAUCGUCACUGCCAUAAGAGAUUGACAAUGCUGCUGCUUUAGUUACGUGCUUGUUGCUGCCAUAAAAAUUAAAAGAAAAGGGAGUUACCACGUUUAAUCUAUGUGAAUUCAACUAAUCGAGGUAGGGGUUUUUCUUAAAAUCUAAUUUACAUUACAGAGUUGUGAUAAAUAGAUAUUGAUGCAAAAAGAUAUAUUUCUGUGAUUAUAUUUGUCUUGUGGAUGUAAUGGAUUGUUGGACUGGAUUAUUGGGUUCUUGAUUGCUUGAGUGAAGUACGGUUGUUGUUAAGAAAUGGAUUUGGAAAAUUAUUUACUUGAUUAUUAUGAAAAGUGAUUUUUCUUGGUUUGAAGUUAAACUGGUUUGAUUUUGAGUCGGUUUGAUUUUAUAAAUAAUUUAAUACUUGAGCUGGUUUGGCUUUAAAAAGAGUUUUAUUAUUGGAAUUGGUCUGAUUUUGAAAAUACUUUGAUAUUGGAAUUGUUUGAGAUUUGGAAAUGGUUGAGAAAAGGUUUGAGAAAUGUUUGGAUGGGACCCGAAAAGGGUGGCAGUGUCCGAGUUUUAGAGGAGAUGCUGUCGAAAUUUUAUAAAAUUGGAAGUUUUAUUUAAAGUAACUAAUUAAAAAUAUUUGUUUUUAAGCAUUAUACGUUUUAAGAUUGAUUUGCCUAUCAAAGAAAGAAUUUUGUUUUGGAAUUGAGAUUGUUAACGAACAGAAUGAAAAAGAGGAGGAUGAGGAUUUUAUUUGAAAUAUGACUUUGAAAUGAACUUGGAAAUGAGAUUUGGAUUGAUGAAUGAUUAUGAUGUUGAGAUUGUUGAGAUGUGAACUUGGAAUUAUUCAUAUGGCUUAUGAAUUUGAAAUAUCUGAGAUACAAGGUUCCCUGGAUUAAGUGCCGUGGCUUGCCACCACGUGUACCAGGUUGAAAACUCGAUACUCUGUUGACCCUACGAUGUAAGUGGGUGACCGGGCACUAUAUAAAUUCCCGAGAAUGUUACCCCCAUUGAGUAAUAUUGAUUAUUUGAGAAAAAGCUAUGCAUAGACUCUUGGGGAUGCACGUCGGGGGAUAGUCUAAGUACAAUUCAGACUUGUCGGGUUGGCUGGAUAACCGACAGAUGAGCCUCAUCAGCCAUAGGACAGGCAUGCAUCAUAUGCAUUUGUAUGCUUUGCUUGGGUUUGAACUUGUUUUGGUUUGCCUAAUUGCUAAACUGUUCUUAACUGCUACUUGAACUAUUUGCUGUAACUGCUACCUGCUUGUGUUUUCCUUGUCUGUCUUGCCUAUGUUUGUCCUGGCGUGCUACAUUUGAGAAUGAACUUGGAUGUUGAAUUAAUGAUUGUGUUGUUUAAUUGCGUGGUUGAUUUCUGAUUGAGAUUUUCUUAUAAGAAAGGAAAGAUUUCGGAUUUCUGAAAGAUUAAACAUUGUUUCUUUGAAAAGGGUUUUGAACGAUUUCCUAUUGGUUUUAAAAGAUUCAUAAGGCAAUGAUAAUCACUGAGCUUGAAAACAGUUUCUUAUUAAAUAUCUUCUUAUGACAACUUUGAAACUCCGUGGUGAGACCGUGUGGUUAGGUUCUCACCCCCCUACAGC
rnacentral:lncRNA from 1 species